rnacentral:rRNA from 1 species
GACGAACGCUGGCGGCGUGCUUAACACAUGCAAGUCGAACGCUGAAGCUUGGUGCUUGCACUGGGUGGAUGAGUGGCGAACGGGUGAGUAAUAAGUGAGUAACCUGCCCUUGACUCUGGGAUAAGCCUGGGAAACUGGGUCUAAUACUGGAUACGACAUGUCACCGCAUGGUGGUGUGUGGAAAGGGUUUUACUGGUUUUGGAUGGGCUCACGGCCUAUCAGCUUGUUGGGGGGGUAAUGGCUCACCAAGGCGACGACGGGUAGCCGGCCUGAGAGGGUGAACGGCCACGCUGGCACUGAGACGCGGCCGAGACUACUACGGGAGGAAGCAGUGGAGAAUAUUGCAGAAUGGGCGCAAGCGUGAUGCAGGGACGCCGCGUGAGGGAUGACGGCCUUCGGGUUGUAAACCUCUCAGCACGGAAGAAGCGAAAGUGACGGUACGUGCAGAAGAAGCGCCGGCUAACUACGUG